CACUGUGUAACUCAGACUGACCUGGAACUUACUAUGCUCCAUGUAACCCAGACUGGCCUCAAACUUGUAGCAAUCCUUCUGCUUCAGACUUCCAGAAUGCCAGGGUUACAUGUAUUGUUUGGUCAUGCUGGGGACUGAAUUCGGGCCCUCCCACAUGCUGGCCUAGCAGUCUACCUCUGAACCACACUGUGCCCUGUGCUGGGUGCCAGCUCCUUGUGAACAUCAGCAAGGUGUUUCCUUCAGAAGAAAGAAACGAGGGCUGAAGAGGAGGAUCAGUGGUUAGAGCACUGUCGGCUCUGGCAGAGGACCCAGCUUCAAUUCCCAGCACCCAUGGGGGCUCACAACUGUGUAACUCUAGUUCCAGAGGAUCUGGUGCUCUCUUCUGACUUCAAGGGUACCACACACAUGCAGGCUAAACACUGAUGCACACAGAUGUUAGGUUCACAGACGUUUAAGGUUUUAGGUUUUACACACACACACACACACACACACACACACACACACACACACAGAAGAUCUCAUGUAGCCAUGGCUAGCCGGAUACUCACUGUGUAGCCCAGACUGCCUGUAAACUCUUGGCAAUUCUUCCACCCCAGUGUCCUAAUGUUGGGAUUAUGGGCGUGAGCCACCAUCCCUGGCUUUGUUUUUUGCUUUUAAGAUUGUUCUUUCUAGGGUGGGGAUGAGGGACAGGGUCUCACUUUGUAGCCCAGGCUAGCCUAGAACUCACUAAAUAGCUCAGGUUAGCCUUGAUCUCAUAGCAGUUCUCCUAAUUCAGCUUUCAGAGUGCUGGGAUGGCAGACCUGACAAGCUUGAUGAAACAUGUGUGUGUGUGUUUGCGUGUGUGUGUACGUGUGUGUGUGUGUGCAUGUGUGUGUGUUUGCGUUGUGCAUGUGUGUGAUUUUUCCUUGCUAUUGUUUGGGCGUACAGUGUGGAAUGUCACGUUGUGCAUAUGGAGGUCACGGGACACCUUGUAAGAGUGUCAUUUUUCUGCUUACCCUGAGGGUCCUAGAAAUUGAACUCUGGUCAUCAGACUUGGUAGCAGGAGCCUUUACCCACUGAGAUGUCUCAUUAGCCCUUUAUUUCU